UACGUAGGGUGCGAGCGUUAAUCGGAAUUACUGGGCGUAAAGCGUGCGCAGGCGGUUUUUUAAGACAGGCGUGAAAUCCCCGGGCUUAACCUGGGAACUGCGCUUGUGACUGGAAGGCUAGAGUACGGCAGAGGGGGUGGAAGUUCCACGUGUAGCAGUGAAAUGCGUAGAGAUGUGGAGGAACACCGAUGGCGAAGGCAGCCCCUGGGCCGAUACUGACGCUCAUGCACGAAAGCGUGGGGAGCAAACAGG
rnacentral:rRNA from 1 species